UACGGAGGGUGCAAGCGUUAUCCGGAUUCACUGGGUUUAAAGGGUGCGUAGGUGGGCAAGUAAGUCAGUGGUGAAAUCUCCGGGCUUAACCCGGAAACUGCCAUUGAUACUAUUGUCUUGAAUACUGUGGAGGUCAGCGGAAUAUGUCAUGUAGCGGUGAAAUGCUUAGAUAUGACAUAGAACACCAAUUGCGAAGGCAGCUGACUACACAAAUAUUGACACUGAGGCACGAAAGCGUGGGAUCAAACAGG
rnacentral:rRNA from 1 species